rnacentral:rRNA from 1 species
AUGAACCCUAGCGGCACUUACCGACUGCGCUGGGACGAUCGAAGGAUCGGACGUGCAUGGCAGAAAACACUCAACGGACCGGCCUUGAUAGACAUAAUGGGCCUCAUACCCAUUAUUGUCCGGCCCAUUGGCAACGAGGCCCGAAGGCUCCCUAUCCAGCCCGGCCGCACCAAGCAGCUGAGCGAGCGCGGUCGCCCUCGUCGAUCGAAUCUCGGUCGCCGUGGCCUCCAUGGCCGGCGCCGGCGGACGCACAUUCCGGGACAACAACCUCCGUCCUUUCUUCCUCUUAACCGUAACCCACGCAUCCGGUCGGAUCAGAUCAAACACAGUGAGCUUCGGCAAACAUACCUUGGGUAA